rnacentral:tRNA from 1 species
GGUAAAAAACCUAAAAUUUAGGGCUAUUUUGAUAGAAUAAUAUUUAUGUUAAUUACAUUUUUACUU